ensembl:snRNA U6 U6 spliceosomal RNA
GUGCUUGCUUCAGCAGCACAUAUGCUAAAAUUGGAACGAUACAGAGAAGAUUAGCAAGACUCCUGGGCAAGGGUGUCAUGCAAAUUCAUGAAGCAUUCCAUAUUUUU